GAUUGACACUACCAGGGUCACACUGGGGAUAACAAGAACUGGACAAACAUGCCACACAUUUGAAAUAGGUGAUCAUUUUUUCUCUGAUGUCACAAUUAAUGCCUCUGAAGAAAGGAACACCUCUUGUAAGAAUAUGCCACCAAGUUGGGUGACAGGUUACAAAAGGUGAUUGACAGGAAGAGGACUGUUCCCUGCUACAAGACACAUGAACUUGAAAACUGGAUUGGCAGACAUUUGCUCUGGAUUUCUUUUUUUUCCUAACUGGGCACCAGUGAUGCUAAAGAACAGAGGAUAAGUGUUUAUGUGAUGAUAGAUACCUUUAAAGUCAGAUGGCCCAACAGAGGAACCCCAACCUAAAUCAAGGCAGAUUCACUAACACAUUUUCCAUAUCUCUUUUAUCCAUUUACUA